rnacentral:rRNA from 1 species
GAUGAACGCUAGCGAAGGCUUAACACAUGCAAGUCGAGGGACCGGCGGAUGGGUGCGUAACGCGUAUGCAACUUGCCUCACAGAGGAGAAUAACCCGGAGAAAUCCGGAAUAAUGCCCCAUACUGUGAGAUAAGCAUGCGUCCUAUUCGGUAGUUGGUGAGGUACCGGAUCGCCAAGCAUACGAUAGGUAGGGGUGCCGAGAGACAGAUCCCACACAGAGGGACAGAGGCCCGGCCCAAACUCGUACGGGAGGCAGGAGGAAGGAAUAUUGGUCAAUGGAGGACACUCUGAACCAGCCAAGUCGCGUGAAGGAGGAAUGUCUAAGGAAUGUAUACUACUUUAGCGGGCGGGGAGGUAGAUCGAGAAUAAGUAUCGGCUAACUCCGUGCCAGCAGCCGCGGUAAUAC